AUGUGGUUUUGGAAGAGGAACUGUCCUGCAGCAACGCUGCCUACUGAGUACAAUGCACAAGUCAUAGUCGAUAACCUUACCGAAAAUAAUGUGAGAAACAUGUGGUCUAGCAGAAGGAUACGGAAUGACAAACUGAAUGUAGUCCAUGCUCAGGGCAUUGCUGGCAUCGGUCUCCCAACUACUCUAGUCGUCAAGAAGUUCAAGAACAUGAACCCAACACUACAGGUGGAUGAAAAUGUCACGAACCGCUGCAAGUACGAGAUGAUGCUGUUAGCCAGCAUCUGUCACGAAAACAUCAUCAAUGUCCUAGAUGUCAUCGUGAGGGAUGAAGCGAUCAUGCUCGUAUACAAGUGCGCGGUGAAUGGCAACCUUGACCGGUGGCUGCACCGGCUGGAGGGGCAGGAUCGGCUGUUGAGCUGGCCGGAGAGAAUGACCAUCACCAUUGGCAUUGCCAAAGGGCUCUGCCACUUGCACAACGGAUGCAAUAAGCCAAUUGUCCACCAUAACAUCAACUCUAACAACAUUUUGCUUGAUCAGAAUUUCAAGGCCAUGAUAGCUGGUUUUGGCACUGCGCAGAUGAACAUGGCUGGGCUCGACCAACCAUUGCCAAUCAUGGGCCUGCCUACUGGUAACUUUGGUUAUGCAGCUCCAGAAUAUGGUAUUGCACCAAGCCAACUGACGGAGAAGGUAGAUGUUUACAGUUUCGGUGUGGUGUUGCUAGAACUCAUCACUGGACGGGUGGCCACUGGACCUGGAGUGGAUGGUCAACUGCCAAUCUGGGCACCGCGCAACCGCAAAGAACUGAUGGCAAACCAUCUGAAAGGGUUUAAGAUUGAAGUGGACAAGGGCAUCCCAGAUCAAGCACGAUACAUGAAGGAGAUGGCUACCGUGUUCACGCUGGGAGUGGAUUGCACCGUCAUGGAUCAGCAGAAAAGGCCGUCCAUGCAGAUCGCUCUCAAAUGA
rnacentral:rRNA from 1 species